rnacentral:rRNA from 1 species
GAAAAGAGAGUUAAAAGCACGUGAAGCCGUUGAAAGGGAAACGCGCUCGGCUAGCAAUGUGCCACGACGGUUCAGCCGUUUUGGACGGCGAGGUGGUUGUUGUCGGAUCCGAACGGACCGCAGCAGUCAUCGUCGUCGUCCGAAAUGCGGUGCACUCUUUCGUGGUGCGCGUCAGCGUCGGUUCGCAGCGGGCGACAAGGCCUUGCGGAAGGUAGCUCGGGCUUGCUCGAGUGUUAUAGACGCAGGUGCUGGGUCUGCUGCGGACCGAGGAGAGAGAGUAUCGUUGCAGCGCAUGCCGCAAGGCUAGCUACCUGCUGUUCGGCUCGCUUCACGGACUGAGGACUGCACGCAGUGCUCGGCUCGGCGGAGUGGUCGGGUGGUGGGCUGGUAUAAAUGCGCUCAGGACGCUGGCGUCCAAAUGGCCGUGCGCGACCCGUCUUGAAACACGGAAA